rnacentral:lncRNA from 10 species
AAUUCCUUUUCUUACUGCUCGUCUUAAUUUUCAUGACAGCUUUGCCUCUCCUUCUCUUCCCUGGCGCUUAGGUGACCACAGGCUUCAUAAAGCCUAAAAAACUUCAGACUGAGAGGAAAAGACCCCAGUCAAGAUGGGUGCGGCUGUUGUCAUCAGCACACAGGGGUGAACCUGGAGCUGUGAAAUGGAGGAGGAGAAAGAGGAAAGGAGCCUGCAUCCCAGAUGACACGACCGAGCUGCUGACCCAGAUCGCAGGACACGAGAUAGUGCAUUUCCCUUCUGUUAAGGAAUUUCUGUAGUUACCGAAUCUGGAAGGAAAACUAAGAGGCCACCAGGCAGGCCGUGUGAUGGAAGGAGUGAGGGGAGAAGGAGCAUCCAUGCAGAGGGAACAGCAUGUGCAAAGAUGAGGGUCAGUGAGGACGUGGUUUGUACAGGUAAAUUCGAGGAGCUUUGAGGGCUGACAGGUAAUGCUGGCUCUGGGGAGGUGUUGGGAGAAGAGAAGGGAAGGGAGGAGCCGUGUAAUGAAAAGCUGUGCUCACCAUCACUAAGGACUCUGGACUUAACCUGACAGUGGGGGUUUUAGGCAGUGGAGUGGCAUGAUCAAAGCCAUUGCUGGAUGCAGGGAGGAGGCUGGGAUGAA